rnacentral:lncRNA from 10 species
CUCUGUCACCCAGGCUGGAGUCCAGUGGCGUGAUCUCGACUCACUGCAACCUCCGCCUCCCACGUUCAAGUGGUUCUCCUCCCUCAGCCUCCUGAGUAGUUGGGAUUACAGGCGUCCACCACCACCCCCAGCCAAUUUUUGUAUUUCUAGUAGAGACAGGGUUUCACCAUGUUGGCCAGGCUGGUCUCAAACUCCUGACCUUGUGAUCUGCCCACCUCAGCCUCCCAAAGUGCUCCCAAAGUGCUGGUGAGCCCCCGUGCCCAGCCAAAAAUCACCCUUUUAAAGUGUACACUUAGCAUAUUCACUGAAUUGUACAACCAUCACAACUAUCUAAUUUUAGAACAUUUUCAUCUUUCCAAAAGAAACCACAUACCCAUUCGCAGUCUCUGCCCAUCUUCCCAGCCUUAGGUAGUAUCACUAAUAUAAUUCCUAUCUCUUGAUUUGCCUACUCUGGACCUUUCAUAUAAAUGGAAUCAUAUAAUAUGUGGCCUUUUAUGUCCAGCUUCUUU